AUGGUGAAGUUAAUAGUUGGUGUCAAAACUUAUUAAGUUGGUGACAGCCAAUGGUAAGAAAAUAAAUAAUAAAAAUGAUAAUAUUCCAUGUGUACGUGUGUGUGGUUAUAUGUGUGAUACUAGAGAAUGGGUGUCUACUAAGGUCAUUGGUGCUGAAGGUAAUAAAUGGUGGAAGUGGUGUGAUGGUUCUAAUAUAUAUUGAUAUACUUAUGUUUUAUUUUAAAGUUUGACCAAGUAGUUAUUUAUAUAUAUGGGUAAGUUAUUGACCAGGUCAAGUACAUAUUCCACCCACCCAUGUAUAUAGAUAUCUAGUAAUACACUUUAUUCUAAAAGCUUCCAAAGGAGGCUGUUACUAAUUGACACACACACGCAUGAGUCAUGAAGAGGGGAAAAUCACAUUUAUAUCUAAGUGACACGUUGUCUAGAGAUUUGCAUGGACAAGAAAAAGAAAAAAAAUAAUAAAAAUACAAAUAGAAACAAAGGAGGGAUUUUUCAGCCGUAGAAGAAGAAAAUAUUAUUAAACUUUGGGUAACACAUGUCACAUAAGCUAUGUGACAAUUUACAUUUCCUGGAGACUAGAUUUACACCAUCCAUGUGACUAUAUACUUUUCAAGACUAAAGUUAUUAUGCUUUAAAGUGGUGGCUGGUGGCUGCAAUAUAUAGUUGUAUAUAUAUAUAGGUUUCAAUUAUCAUUUAUAUGGAUAGAGAUGAGUAAAGUCAGGUUGCUGGCUGCACAAGGCUGGACCGAACACACAGGACACGCAAUUAUGUAGAUAUACUCUAUAUAUAGAUAAGGUUAAUUCUAUCUUUUUAAACCUGUUUGGACCGCCUUUGAGAAAGCCAUUGUUUUGGUUGAGACACACAAAAUAUAUCAAAACAGUGAGCUAUUUAGUGAUAGUUCAAAGAGAGAAGAAAAAUACGGAGGAGGAGGAUAGAAAAGGAAAAAGGGGGUUUUCUCUCUAAAUUGUUGUUGAAUUCAAGCAAAGGCAAGGAGAAUGAACUGAUCACUUCAGCAAUAUCAAAGGAUAAGUAGACAAUUUGAAAAGUAGCCAAGGUACAAGGUUGGGUCGCUACUGCCAGGUCUAGAAUUUUUGAGUGGGAAUGGGAAAAAGAACAAUGGAACGUCUUUUGUUUAAUAUGUAAAUAUUGUAAUAGAAUUUAAUAGUAUAAGUUGCCGUUAAUGUUUUUUUUUGUUUGUCAGAAUUUGCAUAACAGGCCUAUAGGUAGUUUUUGAAUUGUAAACUGUUAAACAGGUGCUCUGAUGUAGGAUGACGUUAUAUUUGAAGGAGGUUAAUGCAGAUGGUUAGAUGCAUUCCAAUUUA